CUAUGCUAGGUGGGGAGGUAGCGGUGCCCUGUAUCUGCAAUCCGCUAAAGCAGGACUGAAUCCCCGGAUGCGGCCUGUUUCUGUGGGGACUGUCCCACGCACGUAGUGUUGAUGGUUGGGUCUUGAGCAACGUGCGCUUAUUGAACCCCGUCAGGUCCGGAAGGAAGCAGCGGUAGAUGAGUUGCUCGUGUGACGCAAGGGUGCCUAACCUGAGCUAACGACGUGGGCAACGCCUGGAGAAGUUUGUCAACCCUGGGUGCAUAG
rnacentral:SRP_RNA from 1 species